CGCGCCUUUUGUCUUUCAAAUCUAAUUGUAUUUUCUUGAUUGUUCAAUUUGACAAAAAUCAAAGCUACUUAAUUGUAUUACUUCUCGUUUUUGACAAUCAUGAUUAAAUUUCCUUGCUUCGCUCGUCCUUUGUGAUUGCAGGUUUUCUAGGACAUGCAUUAUUUGGGUAAAGAUUGGGGGAUAUAUUUUUGUGAUGAUGAUAAUGGGGAUUCUGCAGAUCGAAAAGUGCUCUCAGAGGAGUCAUUGAAAAAGUUGUCACGAUGGUUAACCAAUGUUCAACUCUUCCAAUGUACUCUUCCAAUGUACAAUGGAGUGACUUUUUGAUCAAUAGCUUGAAGAAAAAUUACGAGUCCUAAAUUAAUUGGGAGUUGUAGAUUAAGUGCUUAGUAAUUUAGACAUUUAAAAUUAUAUAUAGUUAGUAAUUUCAGACUUGUACUUUGAUUUUGUUAAAUAUUUUUUUAUGUAAAUGUUCUGUAUGAUAUUCUUGUUAUAUUUAAUGUGUUGAGUAUUU